rnacentral:rRNA from 1 species
GUAGGGAAUCUUCCACAAUGGACGAAAGUCUGAUGGAGCAACGCCGCGUGAGUGAAGAAGGUUCUCGGAUCGUAAAACUCUGUUGUGAGGGAAGAACAAGUACCGGAGUAACUGCCGGUACCUUGACGGUACCUCAUUAGAAAGCCACGGCUAACUACGUGCCAGCAGCCGCGGUAAUACGUAGGUGGCAAGCGUUGUCCGGAAUCAUUGGGCGUAAAGCGCGCGCAGGCGGUCCCUUAAGUCUGAUGUGAAAGCCCACGGCUCAACCGUGGAGGGUCAUUGGAAACUGGGGGACUUGAGUGCAGAAGAGGAAAGCGGAAUUCCAAGUGUAGCGGUGAAAUGCGUAGAGAUUUGGAGGAACACCAGUGGCGAAGGCGGCUUUCUGGUCUGUAACUGACGCUGAGGCGCGAAAGCGUGGGGAGCAAACAGGAUUAGAAACCCUGGUAGUCC